rnacentral:rRNA from 1 species
UACGUAGGUGGCAAGCGUUGUCCGGAUUUACUGGGCGUAAAGCGUGCGCAGGCGGUUCGUUAUUUCCGUUGUGAAAGCCCCGGGCUCAACCUGGGAAUGGCAAUGGAAACUGGCGGGCUAGAGUGUGGCAGAGGGGGGUGGAAUUCCGCGUGUAGCAGUGAAAUGCGUAGAGAUGCGGAGGAACACCGAUGGCGAAGGCAGCCCCCUGGGCUAGCACUGACGCUCAGGCACGAAAGCGUGGGGAGCAAACAGG